GUUAAAUACAUGGAUUAUGUUAUCCUUCACCUCCCUACCGGGCUAAAAUCGAUCAAAUCAGGAAGCACUCUUCCAACCCAAAGAGCCAACACCUUGGAGAAUAGCAGGCCAGGUCCUUUCCCUCCUUUGGAAUGACGGCGAUAAUUGACAUCAAAGAAUCCUGCGGGAACAACUUCACAUCAAUUAGAGAAUUAAGGCCAUUGAGGAGUUGUGGCAGGAGG